rnacentral:rRNA from 1 species
AGCGAACGCUGGCGGCAGGCCUAACACAUGCAAGUCGAACGAGACCUUCGGGUCUAGUGGCGGACGGGUGAGUAACACGUGGGAACGUGCCUUUAGGUUCGGAAUAACUCAGGGAAACUUGUGCUAAUACCGAAUGUGCCCUUCGGGGGAAAGAUUUAUCGCCUUUAGAGCGGCCCGCGUCUGAUUAGCUAGUUGGUGAGGUAAUGGCUCACCAAGGCUACGAUCAGUAGCUGGUCUGAGAGGAUGAUCAGCCACAUUGGGACUGAGACACGGCCCAAACUCCUUCGGGAGGCAGCAGUGGGGAAUCUUGCGCAAUGGGCGAAAGCCUGACGCAGCCAUGCCGCGUGUAUGAUGAAGGUCUUAGGAUUGUAAAAUACUUUCACCGGUGAAGAUAAUGACUGUAGCCGGAGAAGAAGCCCCGGCUAACUUCGUGCCAGCAGCCGCAGUAACAC